UAGGGAAUCUUCGGCAAUGGACGAAAGUCUGACCGAGCAACGCCGCGUGAGUGAAGAAGGUUUUCGGAUCGUAAAACUCUGUUGUUCGAGAAGAACAAGGACGUUAGUAACUGAACGUCCCCUGACGGUAUCUAACCAGAAAGCCCCGGCUAACUACGUGCCAGCAGCCGCGGUAAUACGUAGGUGGCAAGCGUUGUUCGGAUUUAUUGGGCGUAAAGCGUGCGCAGGCGGUUUCUUAAGUCUGAUGUGAAAGCCCCCGGCUCAACCGGGGAGGGUCAUUGGAAACUGGGAGACUUGAGUGCAGAAGAGGAGAGUGGAAUUCCAUGUGUAGCGGUGAAAUGCGUAGAGAUAUGGAGGAACACCAGUGGCGAAGGCGGCUCUCUGGGCUGUAACUGACGCUGAGGCUCGAAAGCGUGGGGAGCAAACAGG
rnacentral:rRNA from 1 species